rnacentral:rRNA from 1 species
UAGUAAAAUUUUAAAAAUAUAACCUGCCCUAUGAUAAGUUAAAUGGCUGCAGUAUACUGACUGUGCAAAGGUAGCAUAAUAAUUAGUCUUUUAAUUGGAGGCUUGUAUGAAUGGUUUUAUGAAAAAUUUUUUUUAUUUAUUUUAAUUUUAGAAUUUUAUUUAUAAGUAAGAAAGCUUAUUUUUUUUUUCGGGACGAUAAGACCCUAUAGAACUUUAUUUUUUAUUGUUUUUAUAAUUUUUUUAGAUAAUUUAUUUUUCUUUCUAAUAAAUUUUUUUGUUGGGGGGACAGUUAAAUUUAACUUUAUUUUUUUUUCUCAUUUAUUUAUGUUUAUUAUGAUCCUUUGUUAGAUUAUAAGAUUAAGUUACCUUAGGGAUAACAGCGUAAUUUAAAUGGNGAGUUCAUAUCUAUAUUUAAGUUUGCGACCUCGAUGUUGAAUUAAGUUUANAUGGGGGGGUAG